CAGUUCGGAUUGCAGGCUGCAACUCGCCUGCAUGAAGCUGGAAUUGCUAGUAAUCGCGGAUCAGCAAGCCGCGGUGAAUACGUUCCCGGGCCUUGUACACACCGCCCGUCACACCAUGAGAGUUGAGAAUACCCGAAGCCCAUGUCAAAGUGGUCGAAGGUAGGCUUGAUGAUUGGGUGAAGUCGUAACAAGGUACC
rnacentral:rRNA from 1 species